GCGCCCAUAGCUCAAUGGACAGAGUGCCGGACUUCGAAUCCGUGGGUUGCAGGUUCGAAUCCUGCUGGGCGCGCUA
rnacentral:tRNA from 1 species